GACGAACGCUGGCGGCGUGCUUAACACAUGCAAGUCGAACGGUGAAGCGCCUUCCUUUUUGGUGGGUGUGGAUGAGUGGCGAACGGGUGAGUAACACGUGAGUAACCUGCCCCCUUCUUCUGGAUAACCGCAUGAAAGUGUGGCUAAUACGGGAUAUUCUGGGUCUGUCGCAUGAUGGGUCUAGGAAAGAUAUUGUUUCGGUGGGGGAUGGGCUCGCGGCCUAUCAGCUUGUUGGUGGGGUGAUGGCCUACCAAGGCGGUGACGGGUAGCCGGCCUGAGAGGGUGGACGGUCACACUGGGACUGAGACACGGCCAAGACUCCUACGGGAGGCAGCAGUGGGGAAUAUUGCACAGUGGGCGCAAGGCUGAUGCAGCGACGCCGCGGGAGGGAUGGAGGCCUGCGGGUUGUGAACCUCUUUCGCCAGUGAAGCAGGCCUGCCUCGUUUGUGGGUGGGUUGACGGUAGCUGGAGAAGAAGCGCCGGCUAACUACGUG
rnacentral:rRNA from 1 species